UCGCUCAGCCCCCCCAAACCCCCACUCCAUGAGCUCAGGGUCCCCAUCCCCUCUGUGCCCAGCGGUGUGGGCUCAACGGGUGCCCACAUCCCCAUCCCUGGAGGCCAUCACACCAUCAAUCCACUCAGCAUAGGGUGCGAUGCGGGUGUAGAUGGCCGGCUUCUUGUAGUUGCCGCAGACACGAGAGCCGGCCGUCACCACCCCUUCAGCCACACCGUUGCAGACCAAAGGACCCCCGGAGUCACCCUUGCACGUGUCCUUCUUGCGGGAGUCGGUGCACAUCAUCUUCUCGGUGAUGGUGCGGUCGUGGCGGGUGCGGUGGUUGCAGAGCUCUCUGCUGAUCACCGGGCGUUGCACCUCCUGCAGCCGAUCCGGCCGCUUCCCGCUGUGCGUCACCGUCCCCCAUCCCGCGGCGCUGCAAAGCGUGUCGGCCGCCACCUCCCGGUCCUCGCGUUGGAACGGCAGCGGCUGCACGUGUUCGUUCAGCUCCGCUUUCUCCUCCAGCUGGAGCAGCAGGAGGUCGUCCCGGUUGUUGUGGAUGUUGCUGCCGGGGUGGGCGAUUUGUGCCCGCACGUCGUAGAGCCGUUUGUGGGGCUCCGGUUCCGUCAGUGAAUGGGCGCCCAGCAGCACCUGGAAGCGUUUAUCCCCCAUCUGCUCGGUGCAGUGCGCGGCGCUCAGCACCCACUGUGGGGCGAUGAGGAAUCCCCCACAGAUGUGCUGCCCGUCCAGCUGCAGGGAGGCCAUGUAGGGCCGUCGGUGGGGCUGCGCCUCCGAGCCCCCCCAGGAUCCGCCCCCCGGGGCUGUGCUGAUGCAGGGCGGGGAGAGGCAGCGUUAGUGGGGGGGGACACCGGAGUGAGAGACCCCUCGAGAUCCCUCCCCACACCCUUAGGGACUGCGGUGGGGUUUCCUGACUCCACACGAGGUCUCCCUUCUGUAAGUGCCUCAGCGUCGCUCGCAGCCGUCCCCAGAGGAGCUCAGUGUGACGCUGCUCUGUAUCGCUGUGACCCCCAGGAUGGAUCUCUGCCCACCAACCGAACCCACCCGAGAGCCCACAGCCCUCGUGGGGACACUCAGCUCUGUCCCCAUCCCCGUCCCCAUCCCAUGCCGUGCUCACCAUCCACCACGGCCCCCAGCAGCAGCAGAAGGACGAGGACAGACCCGGCAGCAGCGCACGGCCCCAUGGCUGCAGUGAGCGGCCGCUCCGGGGACGGGACGGGGAUUGGUUUUAUAUCCACUUUGGGGCCACGGGGAGGGCAGGAAGGGAAAAAGGAGGGGAUUUCCGCAGCGAGGCAAUGCCAAAUGUGCUUCAACUCCCCGUUAUAAAACAGGCCAAACGUUCCCGGACAAACAACUUCGGGAGGAAGCAGCCGUUCCCAGCUGCCGGGUCUGGCAGCAGCAGGAGGGGAUUUCUGCAGCACUGAGGGGUCGUUGGCUGUAGGGACAAAGGGGUCGGGGUGUCCGAGGGGUGACCCAACGGCCCCUCUGCCCUUCUCCCCGGUGCCACAAAGCAGAGCCACAUCCCCGCAGCUCUGAGCCCUUCCCAGUGCCACGCAGAGCAGUGGGGCAGCACCGGGGUGGAGGUCCCGGGGUCCCAACCCAACCCUAUGGCACGGCCCUGUCCCCGUUUGGCCCAUGUGUUGCUGCUCUGCGAUGUUAUGUGGAGUGUUGAGAAGGGAAAACCUCAGCUGGAACCGCAUUUCUUUUUUUUUUUUUUUUUGCUUUUUAUCAGCAUAAAAUCUCC
rnacentral:lncRNA from 1 species